UUUUGACAGAUUCAACAAAAAAAAAACACACAAAAAACCCUAAAACACAACUCUUUCUCCCAACUAAAAAAAGAAAGGAGCCGCCCCCUCCGUUUUCAAAUUUUUUUUGGAACCUCCAGCUCACCAUUGGAUUCUUCUAAAAAACAGCCAGUGGCCGGCCAUUUUUCUUUGAUUUUUUCUUCCGGAGGCCGGCCAUUUCAAAGCCACCAGCCGUUCCCCCAUUUUCUUCACUUUUUCCAGCCAACAAAACCGGAGCAGCCACCACAGCCGGUUCUCUCCUCCUCUCGCUCUCAGCCAAAAAGCCCCCGGCCCUUGGUGAAAAACGAGAGAAACCCCUGGCUGAAGGGGGUUUUGAUUUUCGGUUUCUUCUCCCUUCAGCCGGGCGGAUCUUCAGCUCCCUUCAACAGAAAACGAGAGAAGCCCCCGCUACUCCCAUUUCCUUAUUCUCCCAUUCAGUAGUGGCUCCUCCCCACAUAGCCGUUCUCCCACCUCCACCAGCACCCACCGAAGCCAACCGCAGCAGCUCAUUUCCCCAGCGGCGCCACCUGCUGCUCCGGCCUCUAGCAGUCGUCGCCAGUACAUGGAAGACGAUCUGAAGAAGAAGAGGAAGGAGCAGAUCGGAGAAGAAAGAAGACAAAAAGCAGAUCUAAAAGGGGCGAAAUGAAGGAUGCAGAUUUGUAAAGGAAAGAAAAAUUAGCACCGAUUGCCAUUUGUGUGUUUUUUUGGUUGUUGCAGGUGACAGGGCCUUCACCGCCGACAGAAAAAUGGACGGGGGAGGAAGGCGCUCCAUACCCCCUGGUUUGGCAGGUUUUCCAGUGGCGGCGCGUGAUCCCACGCGCCGCUAGUAGCGGCGGCGCGUGGGAAGACGCGCCGCUACUGUUUCAGUCGGGCUUAGGUUGCUUCCCAGAGUUGUUUUUCCUGAAUUUUAGGGUCUGUUGUGUAAUUUUCAAUUAUGUGAUGUAAUUUUUGUUUAGUUUUGAAUUUUUAUUAUUUGUAAUGUGGAUGUAACAAAAAAAAAAAAAAAAGAAAAGAAAAGAAACAAAAAUAAUACAGUAAAAGUGAAUGUGGGUGUUUGUAUUUUGUUUUAUAUUUUUUAAAUAUAUUUCUUAAUGAUAAAAUUGCAGAUAUUAAAGAAGAAUUUAAUAUUUUGAUUGGAUCACGGUUAAGAAUUAUUAACUUAUACGUAAGUGAUAUUUCUAAUUUCCGAUGAAAAGACAAUUAUUAAAACUUUUUUACACUAAAAUCACGAAGCAGCUUACCUCAGGUAGGGUGCGUUAGGGGUGCUAAUACCUUCCCUAACCACAACCAGUCCCUUACCUGCGAAUCGCUGACAAGACCAGUACAUUAGGUUUCCUAGUAGCCCGCAAUCAAUUACUAGGUGGCGACUCCAACGAACCAAAUUCAAGCAAAUAACAACAACGAGACUUAAAUCGCCAACCGGUGCCGCACGCUGAUUUUUUUAGGGUGCGACAGAAUGGCGACUCCGCUGGGGACGGUAUUGUUUCUGACAUUAUUGGACUAAGCUUUGUGUAUUUGAUGUGUUUAAUUUUUUUUUGCAUUUUUAUCUUUUUGUUAAUAUUUUUUUCCAUGCAUUUUAUAGAAUUGUUUCAUGCAUCACCUGUAUUUAUUUUUGAAAGCACACACAAGCUUCUAGGUUAGGUGGGGAACUAGCGAUCUGCCCUAAGACUAUUGGUCAGGGUUCAGAUGCGUGAAACACCCAACUCAUAUCUGAGUGCCUGCUUGGUAAUGGUGGGUAUACGUGCCUUAACCAUUCCUUGCAACGCCCCCAUACUGUCUUUACGAAGAACGUCACUGGGCAGAUAUGAGACCCUUUUGAGACCAGAUAGAAAACCUACCCAUGUUCACAUAAUAAAUAGAACUGUCCUUAAGUUGUAUGUGCUAUCGUUGUUUGCAUCAGGGCAAACCCUUCUUGAAGCAUCUUGAACUCAAGACUUGUGGGUGACACAUUGGCCGUCACUCCGAAAAUUUUCAUUGUAGAGUUUGGGCAAAAAUCACGAUUCUUGUCCAUCAUACAAGAGUUACGACCAUAUUGUCACCCUCGAAGGGCAAGUUCAUCAUAUAGAUUACAUGUUCAUACAUUUGUCAUGCAUGCACCAGAAUGAAAAGUAGGUCCCCUACGAGUCUACAACACCCGACUUUGAAUGAAGAAAAACACGGAAGAUGAAGAGUAUGCUCGUCGUAAUUUUUGAAGACAUGUGUGACUUGCUUCUAGCUUACUCGAGUAGAUACUGAAAAAUAACUCUAGGAAAGUUCCUUCCAACCGACCUAUCAUCUUUGUUCAAAACCCAACAAUGACUCAGCCCGAAGAAAUUGGGGGCAAAAUUUGUCAAGAGCCUCGGUGCAAUCAUGUAUUUUCUGCAAAAAGCUUUGGUGGGAAGGCUGACUGAAGGGAAUUGCAUCACUGGUGCAUAAUGGAGCCUAUUCUUGUUCUGCAAAAAAAAAAAAAAAAAAAACCUUAGUUUGAUCAUGCCUGCAAAAUUUCUUGAUUUUUGUUUCAACCUAUUCCAGUUUUUGUUGGUAACUUGGCUCAAAAUUCCGCAACAUUUUCCUUGUCAAAUGAGCCUUUCUUGUUAAUAAGAUCAUGUGUUUUAUAACAUACCUUCAUUUUUGUUGUUGUUUCAUGCAAAUAACAUAUUGAGCAUAACCUUUAAGCAUGAAACCAUCACACCAAGAAUCUUUGGGUGUGUUUCCUUCCUUUUAAAACUAUGCAUGAUCGCACAUGUUCACAAGGAUUUUUGGAAAUUCAAAGUUUAGUACAGAAACUGAAAUCAUGUUGAUGUUUGUCCAAAACAAACGAGUUCUGCAAAUUUAAGUGAUUCCUUAGAAAGGCAACCAUACACCUAGGAAAACCCAAAAAAAAAACAACAACAAGAACCCAUGAAGUGACUUCAAAAGCUGAGUUUUAUUUGAAUGAAUAAUGAGAAAUCACAUUACAUACUCGCAUGAAAGCAAGGCUUAUCGAUCCUAAAUGCAUGCAUUUGAGAUGAAGAAAGGCUAUCCUUGAUAAUCCUUUCACAAGGCUUAAAUAUAUCAUUUGUAGUCCCCUUUUGAGCCUAAUAAAUAUUUUUUGAAAAAAUAACAUUGGCUAGGAUCACACCCCACACUGGGGGCAAGUGCGAUUACAUAGAGAAAACCUCAAUGAUCGAAAGUGCCCAAGCAAUACUAGGGGGCAUAAAAGAAAAUUCUCAAUCAUCAAAGGUGCCCGAACAAAUCUAGAGGGACAUGAAGAAAAAUCCAAAGGAUCAAGAGUUUUGAGCAUAAAAAAAAAAAAAAAACAAUAUUAUGAUGCUCAAAACCAUAUGAAGAAAACAAAAACAAAGAGAACAAGCCCAAGCCCAACACAAGGGGGCACGAUAGACAAUUUUCGAAAGACAGUCAAAUGACAAAAGGUCAAGAAACAAGCACAAGUGAUCCUUAGUUUUAAAUCCCUUAAACACCUUUUGAGCCUACAAAUAUCAUUUUCUUCAUAACCAAGAGCCCAAGCCUACAUUACGUGCCUAAUCAAGCCCUUUCUGAUCAAAGGCAAGCAAUCUGGAUCGGUAGGCAAUGCUUUCUCAUGUGAACCAAAUCAUUAUUCAUGCAAAUAAAAUAAAUGCUUUGAACCUCGGUUCUCAAAACCCUCAAAUUGAAAUUUAAACCUUUUUGACACCAAAUGUCACUUCAUAUUUUUUUACCAAAAGCCAAAAAAAAAAAAAAAAAAGGUUUUCAUCACUUCUGAUAACCUCUCCAUAGGAACACUUGAAUUUUUAGAAUGAGUUUGCUUUGAAUCGAUGUCAAAAUGAUUUUUGUGUCUGGAAUAACUUUGGAAUUCCAAAAAUUCUGCAUGAAAACACUCCUUGUCAAACUUACCUUCAUAUAGCCUUAUCCCCAAACCCGGAUUGAAUACUUGGGGGCAUGAUCAAGCGUGGGGGCAAUAAAGAAACAUAUGAUAGGGCUAGCUCCAUGAUUCCCGUUCUAAGAAAAUAUCGAGCAAAAUCGGCAACCUUUGAGAUAAAGAAGGGGAGGACAAAGAAGUACGAUCAUAUCAAGUCUUUCCUAGAGGUCAAAAUCACAAGAGUUGACUCGAGUGAGCAAGAGCGAAAAGCCAUCGAAGUUCACUGCCAACACUCCAUUUUUCGAGAAAAGAAACACACCAUGAAGAAAUGGGGACAUCUGUUGCUACCCAAUUUUUGACCCAUGUUUUGAUAUAUUUUCAAAAAAUCCAAAAAAAUUAAGAAAACAAAGAAAAUCCAAAAAAAUAUGUUUUUAAUAUAUUUUCGUCAUUUUAGCAUUUUCAACGUCGUCUAAAAAAAAAGAAUUUAAAUUGUUAAAAGAUUUUCAAACGCGUUCGACUUUUCACGCGUCAUUUUUAAAAUCAUUGAUUUUCCGCAGUUGAGUCGACGUUGAUUUGCUCGUUUUCAAAAAAAUACAAAAAAAUAAAAAAAAUCAAAAUUUACAAAAAGAAAGAAGUUGAGGGACCAAGUUGAAAAACUUGGCAACAUGUUUUGUCUAUUAAAUACUGGUUUCCAACACUUUCAAAGGGGGGCGCAAUUUUGACAGAUUCAAAAAAAAAAACACACAAAAAACCCUAAACACAACUCUUUCUCCCAACUAAAAAAAGAAAGGAGCCGCCCCCCCCCCCCGUUUUCAAAUUUUUUUGGAACCUACAGCUCACCAUUGGAUUCUUUCUAAAAAACAGCCAGUGGCGGCCAUUUUUCUUUGAUUUUUUCUCCCGAAAGGCCGGCCAUUUCAAAGCCACCAGCCGUUCCCCCAUUUUCUUCACUUUUUUCCAGCCAACAAAACCGGAGCAACCACCACAGCCGGUUCUCUCCUCCUCUCGCUCUCAGCCAAAAAAGCCCCCGGCCCUUGGUGAAAAACGAGAGAAACCCCUGGCUGAAGGGGGUUUUGAUUUUCGGUUUCUUCUCCCUUCAGCCGGGCGGAUCUUCAGCUCCCUUCAACAGAAAACGAGAGAAGCCCUCGCUACUCCCAUUUCCUUAUUCUCCCUUUCAGUAGUGGCUCCUCCCCACAGAGCCGUUCUCCCACCUCCACCAGCGCCCACCGAAGCCAACCGCAGCAGCUCCUUUCCCCAGCGGCGCCACCCGCUGCUCCGGCCUCUAGCAGUCGUCACCAGUACAUGGAAGACGAUCUGAAGAAGAAGAGGAAGGAGCAGAUCGGAGAAGAAAGAAGACAAAAAGCAGAUCUAAAAGGGGCGAAAUGAAGGAUGCAGAUUUGUAAAGGAAAGAAAAAUUAGCACCGAUUGCCAUUUGUGUGUUUUUUUGGUUGUUGCAGGUGACAGGGCCUUCACCGCCGGCAGAAAAAUGGACGGGGGAGGAAGGCGCUCCAUACCCCCUGGUUUGGCAGGUUUUCCAGUGGCGGCGCGUGAUCCCACGCGCCGCCAGUAGCGGCGGCGCGUGGGAAGACGCGCCGCUACUGUUUCAGUCGGGCUUAGGUUGCUUCCCAGAGUUGUUUUUCCUGAAUUUUAGGGUCUGUUGUGUAAUUUUCAAUUAUGUGAUGUAAUUUUUGUUUAGUUUUGAAUUUUUAUUAUUUGUAAUGUGGA
rnacentral:lncRNA from 1 species